rnacentral:rRNA from 1 species
ACAUGCAAGUUCGAGCGGAUGAGGGCAGCUUGCUCCUUGAUUCAGCGGCGGACGGGUGAGUAAUGCCUAAGAAUCUGCCUGGUAGUGGGGGACAACGUUUCGAAAGGAACGCUAAUACCGCAUACUUCCUACAGGAGAAAGCAGGAGAUCUUCGGGCCUUGCGCUAUCAGAUGAGCCUAGGUCAGAUUAUCUAUUUGGUGGGGUAAUGGCUCACCAACGCGACGAUCCGUAUCUGGUCUGAGAGGAUGAUCACUCACACUGGAACUGACACACGGCCCACACUCCUACGGGAGGCAGCAGUGGGGAAUAUUGGACAAUGGGCGAAAGCCUGAUCCAGCCAUGCCGCGUGUGUGAAGAAGGUCUUCGGAUUGUAAAGCACUUUAAGUUGGGAGGAAGGGCAGUAAGCUAAUACCUUGCUGUUUUGACGUUACCGACAGAAUAAGCACCGGCUAACUCUGUGCCAGCAGCCGCGGUAAUACAGAGGGUGCAAGCGUUAAUCGGAAUUACUGGGCGUAAAGCGCGCGUACGUGGUUUGUUAAGUUGGAUGUGAAAGCCCCGGGCUCAACCUGGGAACUGCAUCCGAAACUGGCAAGCUAGAGUACGGUAGAGGGAGGGUGG